GGAGGAAACUGGUCAUGAUGGAGUAUUCACAACGUGCCAGACCCCAAAUUCCACCUGAGGGAAUGCUUACCAAGCUAGAAGACCUGAAAGGAGUGUAUGAACACAGCUUUGGUUUGGUGAAGCUCUACCUCCUUAAGUGGAGCACAAAGAGAGGCUGUUCUCCCCAUUUCCAGCAGAUGCAUCGUGUGACUGUUGCAACGAACAGGCCCACAUCUGUGGUGAGAACCUACUUCUAAAUGCAGCAUGGCCUCACCGUAGGAGGCCCGGCAAAUUUCCUGUUUCAACCCUACUUGGCCUCACACAGCCACCUGCCUGCAAAAAGAAGUUGAUUCCUGCGGGAGGAGCCUGGCAGGCACCUGGCCUACCUGCCCGGAGGCGUGUCCUCUGCACCACGCGGCGCCCCCUUGCUCUUCCAAGCUAGGAUCCGGGCGUUCUUCCUCUCCUUCCUUCUUCCCUUUCUCCCUGUCUUCCU